CCUACGGGUGGCAGCAGUGAGGAAUAUUGGUCAAUGGCCGGAAGGCUGAACCAGCCAAGCCGCGUGAGGGACGACGGCACUGAGGGUCGUAAACCUCUUUUAUCAGGGAACAAAGAAUGCGACGCGUCGCCUGAUGCCUGUACCUUAUGAAUAAGCAUCGGCUAACUCCGUGCCAGCAGCCGCGGUAAUACGGAGGAUGCGAGCGUUAUCCGGAUUUAUUGGGUGUAAAGGGUGCGAAGGCGGUUUUUUAAGUGAGUGGUAAAACCCCGGGGCUUCACCCAGAUUUGCCGUUGAUACUGUAAGUCUCGAGUUCAGGCGAGGUAGGCGGAAUGCGUUGAGUAGCGGUGAAAUGCUUAGAUAU
rnacentral:rRNA from 1 species